rnacentral:rRNA from 1 species
UACAGAGGUCCCAAGCGUUGUUCGGAUUCAUUGGGCGUAAAGGGUGCGUAGGCGGCGCGGUAAGUCGGGUGUGAAAUCUCGGAGCUUAACUCCGAAACUGCAUUCGAUACUGCCGUGCUUGAGGACUGGAGAGGAGACUGGAAUUCCUAGUGUAGAGGUGAAAUUCGUAGAUAUUAGGAAGAACACCAGUGGCGAAGGCGGCUCACUGGCCCGGAACUGACGCUGAUGUACGAAAGCGUGGGGAGCAAACAGG